GAUGAACGCUGGCGGCGUGCCUAAUACAUGCAAGUCGAGCGAACAGACGAGGAGCUUGCUCCUCUGACGUUAGCGGCGGACGGGUGAGUAACACGUGGAUACCUACCUAUAAGACUGGGAUAACUUCGGGAAACCGGAGCUAAUACCGGAUAAUAUAUUGAACCGCAUGGUUCAAUAGUGAAAGACGGUUUUGCUGUCACUUAUAGAUGGAUCCGCGCCGCAUUAGCUAGUUGGUAAGGUAACGGCUUACCAAGGCAACGAUGCGUAGCCGACCUGAGAGGGUGAUCGGCCACACUGGAACUGAGACACGGUCCAGACUCCUACGGGAGGCAGCAGUAGGGAAUCUUUCGCAAUGGGCGAAAGCCUGACGGAGCAACGCCGCGUGAGUGAUGAAGGUCUUCGGAUCGUAAAACUCUGUUAUUAGGGAAGAACAAAUGUGUAAGUAACUAUGCACGUCUUGACGGUACCUAAUCAGAAAGCCACGGCUAACUACGUG
rnacentral:rRNA from 1 species